rnacentral:rRNA from 1 species
UAGGGAAUCUUCGGCAAUGGGGGGAACCCUGACCGAGCAACGCCGCGUGAGUGAAGAAGGUUUUCGGAUCGUAAAGCUCUGUUGUUAAGGAAGAACGAGUGUGAGAAUGGAAAGUUCAUGCUGUGACGGUACUUAACCAGAAAGGGACGGCUAACUACGUGCCAGCAGCCGCGGUAAUACGUAGGUCCCGAGCGUUGUCCGGAUUUAUUGGGCGUAAAGCGAGCGCAGGCGGUUAGAUAAGUCUGAAGUUAAAGGCAGUGGCUCAACCAUUGUAGGCUUUGGAAACUGUUUAACUUGAGUGCAGAAGGGGAGAGUGGAAUUCCAUGUGUAGCGGUGAAAGGCGUAGAUAUAUGGAGGAACACCGGUGGCGAAAGCGGCUCUCUGGUCUGUAACUGACGCUGAGGCUCGAAAGCGUGGGGAGCGAACAGG